rnacentral:rRNA from 1 species
GACGAACGCUGGCGGCGUGCCUAAUACUUGCAAGUAGAACGCAGUUGCGAACGGGUGAGUAACGCGUAGGUAACUGCCUCAUAGCGGGGGAUAACUAUUUUAAACGAUAGCUAAUACCGCAUACUGUGAGAUUGACCUGCGUUGUAUUUGCGAGUUGGUGAGGUUAAGGCUCACCAUGGCGACGAUACAUAGCCGACCUGAGAGGGUGAGCGGCCACACUGGGACUGAGACGCGGCCCAGACUCCUAUAGGAGGCAGAAGUAGGGAAUCUUCGGCAAUGGAAGGAAGUCUGACCGAGCAACGCCGCGUGAGUGAGGAAGGUUUUCGGAUCGUAAAGCUCUGUUGUUAGAGAAGCGGUGACUAACCAGAAAGGGACGGCAAACUACGUGCCAGCAGCCGCGGUAAUUC